GAUGAACGCUGGCGGCGUGCCUAAUACAUGCAAGUCGAGCGAACAGACGAGGAGCUUGCUCCUCUGACGUUAGCGGCGGACGGGUGAGUAACACGUGGAUAACCUACCUAUAAGACUGGGAUAACUUCGGGAAACCGGAGCUAAUACCGGAUAAUAUAUUGAACCGCAUGGUUCAAUAGUGAAAGACGGUUUUGCUGUCACUUAUAGAUGGAUCCGCGCCGCAUUAGCUAGUUGGUAAGGUAACGGCUUACCAAGGCAACGAUGCGUAGCCGACCUGAGAGGGUGAUCGGCCACACUGGAACUGAGACACGGUCCAGACUCCUACGGGAGGCAGCAGUAGGGAAUCUUCCGCAAUGGGCGAAAGCCUGACGGAGCAACGCCGCGUGAGUGAUGAAGUUCUUCGGAUCGUAAAACUCUGUUAUUAGGGAAGAACAAAUGUGUAAGUAACUAUGCACGUCUUGACGGUACCUAAUCAGAAAGCCACGGCUAACUACGUG
rnacentral:rRNA from 1 species